UCGGGAAUCUUAGACAAUGGGGGAAACCCUGAUCUAGCCAUGCCGCGUGAGUGACGAAGGCCCUAGGGUCGUAAAGCUCUUUCGCCAGGGAAGAUAAUGACGGUACCUGGUAAAGAAGUCCCGGCUAACUCCGUGCCAGCAGCCGCGGUAAUACGGAGGGGACUAGCGUUGUUCGGAAUCACUGGGCGUAAAGGGCGCGUAGGCGGCUGUUUAAGUCGAGGGUGAAAGCCCGGGGCUCAACCCCGGAACGGCCUUCGAGACUGGGCAGCUCGAGACCGGAAGAGGAGGGUGGAAUACCCAGUGUAGAGGUGAAAUUCGUAGAUAUUGGGUGGAACACCAGUGGCGAAAGCGGCUCUCUGGUCCGGAUCUGACGCUGAGGCGCGAAAGCGUGGGGAGCAAACAGGAUUAGAUACCCCUGUAGUCC
rnacentral:rRNA from 1 species